rnacentral:rRNA from 1 species
AUUGAACGCUGGCGGCAGGCCUAACACAUGCAAGUCGAACGAGUGGCGGACGGGUGAGUAAUAUCUCGGGAACUGCCCGUUGUAGGGGGGUAACUCCUGGAAACGGUGUCUCAUACCGCAUACCCUCUGAUGUGCCCAGAUGGGAUUAGCGUGUAGGUGAGGUAACGGCUCACCUAGGCGCCGAUCCCGAGCUGGUCUGAGAGGAUGACCAGCCACACUGGAACUGAGACACGGUCCAGACUCCUACGGGAGGCAGCAGUGGGGAAUAUUGCACAAUGGGCGCAAGCCUGAUGCAGCCAUGCCGCGUGUAUGAAGAAGGCCUUCGGGUUGUAAAGUACUUUCAGCGGGGAGGCGUUACCCGCAGAAGAAGCACCGGCUAACUCCGUGCCAGCAGCCGCGGUAAUAC